GCUUGGGUGGUUCAGUUGGUUGAGCAUCUGACUCUUGAUUUUGACUCAGGUAAUGAUCCUAGGGUUGUGGGAUCGAGUCCCACAUCAUGCU
rnacentral:tRNA from 1 species